rnacentral:rRNA from 1 species
AUGGAGGAGUACCGGUGCCUGCUGCCGGAGGCCACCGUCAGCGACGGGGUGAAGGUCUUCUGCAAGAUGCACUUGGCUCAGCAUGCCCCUGACGCGGCCCGACAGGAAUCGGAGGCGUACAAGCUUCAACAACCGCAACCGGAGGCCGUGACCCAGAGCACGCACGCGCAGAAGAGGCCAGCGACCGCUGCCGCCGCCGAGCCUCAUCCGGCGCGCCCUCAGAAGAGGAUGCGCGGUGCCGUCCCGGUCCCGGCACCUGCCACAUCGUCGUUCACCGCUGCAGCACCGGUUUUCUUGCCGGAUGAAUCCGUACCUGAAGCUGACGACGACAUGGCCCGGUUCUGUUGCACAAUCGAUGAGCUUCUCGGGUCACAAGCGGAGGAAAAUCUCCCGGUCGGAGCUACUAACAGCAUCGAACAGAAUUUCUACUUGGAACCAGAGGGGCUUUUCGCUGAUGCUGCAGAAGAAAUCGUCCCGCUCGAAGCUGACGAGCUGGAGUUCCUUAGGACCUUCCUCGAUGAAGAAGCAGAAGAGUCGACGAACGACAAGUCAUCCAUUGCCCAAGACGUGGGGACUUACAAGCCUCCGCCGCCGAUCAUCUUCCAUGAUCCAUUUGAAGAAGCGUGGAAGGCCGAAGAGGCGCUCAAGAAGGAGAAGAGGUGCAAUGCCGCGGCCAAUCUUCACGCUGGAGGGCACAGCAACUUCUUCUCGCCUGCAAGUGUCUACUAA